UCUCCGUAGAUUGGCUGAGGCGCUCGUCGAACUCAUAAAGCUUCUCGAUGUAGUUGGGGAUAAUGUUCUGACAUUUCGAGAGGAAGCUGAGAUUGAGAGAACGGAUGCAGGUGAGUAAAUACACAGACGAAACCUAUUAGUCUAUUACACAUAGUAGUGAAAAUAAAAAGCUUCCGGAGAAAGAUGAAGAAUAAGAUGAGAUUUUACCGAACCAGGAUUCUGGAAGGUUGAUACUUAGUAGCUUUUCUGUAAAAGGCCCUCACUCGGUUCGUGGGCCAUCCUGUUCCAUCUGUUAAUUUUUCAUAUUAUUGUUUGCUGACCAUGCAUUCACCACAUGACCUUUCCUCGUACUUUGGUCUCAGUCACACGUAUCGCGAAUCAUUUCCCGAUAGGUCACCCAUCCUUCCAGUACUUCAGUUCAAGCACAUUUAACUCUGGAGUUUUAAAUGGAUGUGUGACGGAAAAGUUAAGUCAACUAUGGUGACAUAGGUAACCAAAUCAAUUCUCUUAAUCCUUUCCGUAUAUCACAACUCGGGAUGUUACAUUUUCUUUAGUAAACUCGCCAAAGGGUUUCUGUGAAUUUCAGUUCCCUUGACGAAGAAAUAGUUGGAUUGUGACAUCCCCCUUAAAUGACGUCCGUUUCUUUGAACGGUGAGCUUUUGACAAAACGACACCCUUGUUUAUAAUUUAUUUCCAAUUUGCCUCAAGUAUUUAGAAAACUGCAAACUAACCAGCCAGAUUUGGCCAUAACUCGGAACGAGGAACUCAUAUCAGGACCACAGAGACGAUUGUUCCAACAAUACGAUGAAGCUUCUAUUCUCGAAAUUAGCGCCUUGUGAAAUUUAACCAUGUGUUCUGUCUCUUUAAACAAUUGAAACAGGCAAGACGUGACAUGUGCGACCGAUGAAGGCUUGUAAGAAUGCAAUUUCUUCCAAUUUCUACCUUGGUUAUCUCAUACGCAUUGGUAUAGUGUGUGUUGGGUUUAAUCGUACAGUUAUUGAAUGUCAUCGAACCUUUAAUUGGUUUUAGGUUGGAAGCCAACCAUAUAUCUUAUCAUGUUAGAAGUUUCGAUUCUUGGAGUUUCUUUCAAAGAAAUGAAGUUACAGAUUAAGCUUAGAAUUCACCACCAGCUGGAUCUGGACAGGGUCAAGUCUACUUUCCCCUAGUAAGUUCACCUCUAUCAUGAUUCAUGACCAACAAAUUUGUUAUUAGACUUAGAAUGUCUCCUUUGUUUAUUAAUCUCUUUCUAUAACAUCACACAAUAUUAGUUAGACAAAUUUUUAGGUUUUGUUUUCAUCACAUACGAAAAUAAUAUAAAGACACUUUACAAUCCACCUUCUUUUUUAUGCUCCUAGUCUUCACUUAAAGACCACCCCCAAAGUAAAACUGUCAGCUUCUUUGCACCUCCAAGAAUGUAAUUACAGAACAAAGGUGUGUUUGCACUUUCUUUGUAAAGAUGUAUUGCUCAAAUUCACAUGGACAAAGCUGCGUAGAGAAGUUGGUUCCAAGUAUCUGGCAACCCGGGAAGGCACCAGUGGCUGCAAUCAUUUCCUCCAUCGCCACCAUAAGUAGAAGGAUGAG